rnacentral:tRNA from 1 species
CUUCAGCGAGCUCACGCUCACUAUCGAACCGUUUUAGAAACAUUCAGGGGCCAACAGUUUCAGGAUUGUUGAGCUCCAUUGGCGGGAUUUCGCCGUCUACGUUUCUCUUUCUUCGCGGACGAACACGCGUCGGGGCUUAGCGCUGUGCGGUUGCAUUCGGCGCUGGUCGCCGGCUGCGCGCACGCAGGAUCCCUAGUCCUAUGAAGGAUAGCGUUAGGGGCUUGUAGCUCAGUUGGUUAGAGCGCGCGCUUGAUAAGCGUGAGGUCGGAAGUUCAAGUCUUCCCAGGCCCACCACUUUCAUCGAGCGAGCAUUCGUCUUCUGGUUACGGGGCCAUAGCUCAGCUGGGAGAGCGCGUGCUUUGCAAGCAUGAGGUCGUCGGUUCGAUCCCGUCUGGCUCCACCAGAUGGUUUGAUCACCAACGGCAACACCGUCGUCCGCGAAACAUCACUUCGCACCCACUAGUCCGGAUGGACAGUGACGUGCGUGUUUUCUGACAUCGUAAAGAGGAGAUCGAUCCGAGGUUGGAUCAAGCGAAGCAAUUCGCCUGAACCAUUCAUUAUCUCCGGAUCAUUUCGGCGCUCGCUUUCAGUCGUGAGAUUGAAUGCGGGUUGUAAAUGAUCCUUUCAGCGAAGCUUGACCGCCUCGCUGUCGGGCCGAUCUUACGAAGCAAGCUGGUCUUUCUAGUCAAUGUCCGGCUGCGACAAUCGCGUUCAUCGAGGACGCGUGCCUUCAAUGGCAGUUGCGCAGACAACAUUCUGCCGAGUGUGUGGACAUUGAUAAUGAGAGC